UACGUAGGGUGCAAGCGUUGUCCGGAAUUAUUGGGCGUAAAGAGCUCGUAGGCGGUUUGUUGCGUCGGCUGUGAAAUCCCGAGGCUCAACCUCGGGUCUGCAGUCGAUACGAGCAAACUAGAGUGUUGCAGGGGAGACUGGAAUUCCGUGGUGAUAGCGGUGAAAUGCGCAGAUAUCGAGGAGGAACACCGGUGGCGAAGGCGGAUCUCUGGGCCGGUAACUGACGGCUGGAGGAG
rnacentral:rRNA from 1 species